rnacentral:rRNA from 1 species
GGUACACGAGCGGCGAACGGGUGAGUAACACGUGGGUGAUCUGCCUCGCACUUCGGGAUAAGCCUGGGAAACUGGGUCUAAUACCGGAUAUGACCUUUCAGUGCAUGCUGUUGGGUGGAAAGAUUUAUCGGUGCGAGAUGGGCCCGCGGCCUAUCAGCUUGUUGGCGGGGUAACGGCCCACCAAGGCGACGACGGGUAGCCGACCUGAGAGGGUGACCGGCCACACUGGGACUGAGACACGGCCCAGACUCCUACGGGAGGCAGCAGUGGGGAAUAUUGCACAAUGGGCGGAAGCCUGAUGCAGCGACGCCGCGUGAGGGAUGACGGCCUUCGGGUUGUAAACCUCUUUCGACAGGGACGAAGCGCAAGUGACGGUACCUGUAGAAGAAGCACCGGCCAACUACGUGCCAGCAGCCGCGGUAAUACGUAGGGUGCGAGCGUUGUCCGGAAUUACUGGGCGUAAAGAGCUUGUAGGCGGUUUGUCGCGUCGUCCGUGAAAACUUGGGGCUCAACCCCAAGCUUGCGGGCGAUACGGGCAGACUUGAGUACUUCAGGGGAGACUGGAAUUCCUGGUGUAGCGGUGAAAUGCGCAGAUAUCAGGAGGAACACCGGUGGCGAAGGCGGGUCUCUGGGAAGUAACUGACGCUGAGAAGCGAAAGCGUGGGUAGCGAACAGGAUUAGAUACCCUGGUAGUCCACGCCGUAAACGGUGGGUACUAGGUGUGGGUUUCCUUCCACGGGAUCCGUGCCGUAGCUAACGCAUUAAGUACCCCGCCUGGGGAGUACGGCCG